rnacentral:lncRNA from 1 species
GUUGUAAGAAGUCAUCGUCGUUGAUACAGUGUGUAGAGAGAGAAAGAGAAACAAGAAAAGAUGACCAAACAAAUAUAGAAAAAAAAAGGAGAAAAAGAAGAAAACGUAGAGAAAUAGAGGAGCCUCUUCAGCUUUAACUUGGGCUUUGUUCUAUCCGUCUAAAAUGGUGGAUUCACACUUAGGUACUGUUCAAGACUCUUUUUUUUUCACACCCCAUUCAUCUUCUUGAUUUUUAGAUGCACACCCAUUUCUUUGUUUCUGAUUAUUUUCCUUUUUUUUUGUGUUGUGUGUUUUUUGUUUAAAGAUUGGUCCUUUUUUUGGUUCUUGUUUUGUGAUUUUAUGCCAUUGAUGAGCUUGUAUUGAGAUUUUCUUAGCUUUGAAAUUCAGGUGUAACAGAAUUGUAAAGCUAGGAUUUUGGUAAAGUUGAAGGGUUUAUGUAGUAGUUGACUAUAAGAGUUGAAAAUUGGAGCAAUAAUCAAAUGGGUGGUGACAAUGAGGAAGGAAAUAGUGAUAUGGUGCAAAGACUUCAAUCAUCAUUUGGUACAUCAUCUUCUUCAUUACCUAAGCAACAUCAAUCUUUAUUAUCAAUGGACCAAUUGGAUAUACCUCAAUUGACUAAUAGUUCCCAAUUUCGUGGACAAAUGAGGCAAUUUUCACCCAACUUUAGUGUUGAAAAUAGUACUAGUAAGAGAGUAGGCAUACCGCCUUCUCACCCACAAAUGCCCCCUAUUUCACCUUACUCUCAGAUCCCUGUAACAAGGAUUGUGAAUCAGCAAAUGGGAAUGCAGAGUUUUACUAGUCCAGGGCCAUCGCAUUCGCGAUCUUUAUCACAACCAUCGUUUUUCUCAUUGGAUUCUUUGCCACCCUUGAGCCCUUCACCGUAUAGGGAAUCCUCGUCAACGUCCAUGUCUGACCCUAUAUCAGCCGAUGUGUCAAUGGGCGAUCAGGAUGGCAAUUCACAUUCUUUAUUGCCCCCCUCGCCUUUCAUGAGGUGUAAUUCGUCGAGGGCGGGAGAGAGUCUUCCUCCUCGUAAGGCUCAUAGGCGGUCAAAUAGUGAUAUCCCGUUUGGGUUUUCUGCAAUGAUGCAGUCCUCACCACCUCUUGUUCCGUUAAGGAGCCCUGGUUCUCUUGAAAGGUCAGUUCCUUCAAGGGAAAAACCAAUUCAGUUGGUUAAACGGGAAGCUAUGUGGGAUAAAGGAAAUGAUAGCAAUGCUGAAGGGAUGGGUGAGAGGAAAUCUGAAGGAGAAGUUGUGGAUGACCUGUUUUCUGCUUAUAUGAACUUGGACAACAUUGAUGCAUUAAACUCUUCGGGGACUGAUGACAAGCUGGGCAAUGAGAACCGUGAAGAUUUAGAUAGUAGAGCAAGUGGUACAACGACCUGUUUUCCGCGUAUAUGAACUUGGACAACAUUGAUGCAUUAAACUCUUCCGGGACUGAUAACAAGCUGGGCAAUGAGAAUCGUGAAGAUUUAGAUAGUAGAGCGAGUGGUACAAAGACAAAUGGUGGUGAUAGCAGUGAUAAUGAAGCUACAAGUAGUGUGAAUGACAGUGGCAGCAGUAUGCAGAGGUUAGGGAUAUCUUCUUCUGUUGAGAAGAAGGAAGG